rnacentral:rRNA from 1 species
CCUACGGUUGGCAGCAGUGAGGAAUAUUGGUCAAUGGGCGGGAGCCUGAACCAGCCAAGUCGCGUGAGGGAAGACGGUCCUAUGGAUUGUAAACCUCUUUUGGCGGGGAGCAAUGCCGGGCACGCGUGCCCGGAGGGAGAGUACCCGCAGAAUAAGCAUCGGCUAACACCGUUCCAGCAGCCGCGGUAUUACGGGGGUUGGCAGCGUUAUCCGGAUUUAUUGGGUUUAAAGGGUGCGAAGGCGGAUGUUUAAGUCAGCGGUAAAAUGUCCGGGCUCAACCCGGGCCGGCCGUUGAAACUGGGGAUCUUGAGUGGGCUAGAAGUAUGCGGAAUGCGUGGUGUAGCGGUGAAAUGCAUAGAUAUCACGCAGAACUCCGAUUGCGAAGGCAGCAUACCGGCGCCCGACUGACGCUGAGGCACGAAAGCGUGGGGAUCGAACAGGAUUAGAUACCCCUGUAGUC